AUUGAACGCUGGCGGCGUGCCUAACACAUGCAAGUCGAGCGGUAACAGGUGUAGCAAUACAUGCUGACGAGCGGCGAACGGGUGAGUAAUGCUUCGGAAUCUACCCAAUGGUGGGGAAUAACCAGCCGAAAGGUUGGCUAAUACCGCAUACGUCCCACGGGAGAAAGCAGGGGACCGCAAGACCUUGCGCCAAUGGAUGAGCCGAAGUCGGAUUAGCUAGUUGGUAGGGAACGGCCUACCAAGGCGACGAUCCGUAGCUGGUCUGAGAGGACGACCAGCCACACUGGGACUGAGACACGGCCCAGACUCCUACGGGAGGCAGCAGUGGGGAAUAUUGGACAAUGGGGGAAACCCUGAUCCAGCGACGCCGCGUGUGUGAAGAAGGCCUGCGGGUUGUAAAGCACUUUUAGUGGGGAUGAAAUGUUCAGGGUUAACACCUCUGGA
rnacentral:rRNA from 1 species